GGCACGGUGGCGCAGUGGUUAGCACUGUUGCCUCACAGCAAGAAGGUUGUGGGUUCGAUUACAGCCUGUAUGG